rnacentral:rRNA from 1 species
GGUGUAGGCGGACUGGUAAGUCAGAAGUGAAAGCCCCGGGCUCAACCCGGGAAGUGCUUUUGAUACUGUCAGUCUUGAGUGUGGGAGAGGAUAGUGGAAUUCAAGGUGUAGUGGUGAAAUACGUAGAUAUCUUGAGGAACACCGGUGGCGAAGGCGGCUAUCUGGCCCAACACUGACGCUCAGACCCGAAAGCGUGGGGAGCAAACAGGAUUAGAUACCCUGGUAGUCC